GAUGAAGGAACGUAGCGAAAUGCGAUACGUAAUGUGAAUUGCAGAAUUCAGUGAAUCAUCGAGUCUUUGAACGCACAUUGCGCCCCCUGGUAUUCCGGGGGGCAUGCCUGUCCGAGCGUCAUUGCUGCCCUCAAGCACGGCUUGUGUGUUGGGCCUCCGUCCUCCUCCCGGGGGACGGGCCCGAAAGGCAGCGGCGGCACCGCGUCCGGUCCUCGAGCGUAUGGGGCUUCGUCACCCGCUCUUGUAGGCCCGGCCGGCGCUUGCCGACACAUCAAUCUUUUUUCCAGGUUGACCUCGGAUCAGGUAGGGAUACCCGCUGAACUUAAGCAUAUCAAUAAGCGGAGGA
rnacentral:misc_RNA from 1 species